rnacentral:rRNA from 1 species
UACGAAAGGGGCUAGCGUUGUUCGGAAUUACUGGGCGUAAAGCGCACGUAGGCGGCCUUGUAAGUUGGGGGUGAAAUCCCGGGGCUCAACUCCGGAACUGCCUUCAAGACUGCAAAGCUAGAGGACGCGAGAGGUUAGCGGAAUUCCGAGUGUAGAGGUGAAAUUCGUAGAGAUUCGGAAGAACACCAGUGGCGAAGGCGGCUAACUGGCGCGUUUCUGACGAUGAGGUGCGAAAGAGUGGGGAGCAAACAGG